ACCGGAAUCUCAAGGGUGGGAGGUGUCAAACAUGAAUGGUGCAACUUCUUCAAAAACUGCUACUUGGGGUGAAAAGAACUUUCUCAGUGGAAGUGUGGGAGGUUCUUAUAGUAGCAAUUGGAAUAAAAACUCCCAAAGUCAACCAUCUGAAUCUCAAGGGUGGGGAGUGUCAAACAAAGGCGACGUAGCUUCUUCAAAAACUGUUGUUUGGGGUGAAAAGAACUCGCUUGGUGGAGGUUCUGAUAGUAGCAAUUGGAAUAAAAACUCCCAAAGUCAACCAUCUGAAUCUCAAGGGUGGGGAGUGUCAAACAAAGGCGAUGCAACUUCUUCAAAAACUGUUGCUUGGGGUGAAAAGAACUCGCUUGGCGGAGGUUCUGAUAACAGAAAUUGGAAUAAACACUCCCAAAGUGAGCCAUCUGAAUCCCAACGGCGGGGGUUGUCAAACAAAGGUGAUGCAACUUCAAAAAUUGCUACUUGGGGUGAAAAGAACUUGCAUGGUGAAGGUUCUGAUGGCAGAAAUUGGAAUAAACACUCCCAAAGUGAGCUACCUGAAUCUCAACGGUGGGGGUUGUCAAACAAACGUGAUGCAACUUCUCCAAAAAUUACUACUUGGGGUGAAAAGAACUCGCUUGGUGAAGGUCCUGAUAGCAGCAAUUGGAAUAAACAGUCUCAAAGUCAACCACCUGAAUCUCAAGGGUGGGUGGUGUCAAAGAUGGGUAAUGAAACUUCUUCAAAAACUGCUUCUUGGGGUGAAAAGAACUCGCUUGGUGGAGGUGUGGGAGAUUCUGAUAGCAGCAAUUGGAAUAAACACUCCCAAAGUGAGCCAUCUGAAUCUCAAGGGUGGGGUGUGCCAAAGAUGAGUAUUGCAACUUCUUCAAAAACUGCUGCUUGGGGUGAAAAGAACUCCCAAAGUCAACCACCUGAAUCUCAAGAGUGGGGUGUGUCAAAGAUGGGUAAUGAAACUUCUUCAAAAACUGCUUCUUGGGGUGAAAAGAACUUGCUUGGUGGAAGUGUGAGAGAUUCUGAUAGCAGUAAUUGGAAUAAACACUCCCAAAGUGAGCCAUCUGA
rnacentral:lncRNA from 1 species